UACUUGAGGAAUAAGCAUCGGCUAACCCUGUGCCAGCAGCCGCGGUAAUACAGGGGAUGCAAGUGUUAUCCGGAUUCAUUGGGCGUAAAGCGUCUGCAGGUGGAUGUCUAAGUCUUUUGUUAAAUCUUUGGGCUUAACCCAAAAUCUGCAAAAGAAACUAUAUAUCUUGAGUAUGGUAGAGGUAAAGGGAAUUUCCGGUGGAGCGGUGAAAUGCGUAGAUAUCGGAAAGAACACCAAUUGCGAAGGCACUUUACUGGGCCAGUACUGACACUCAGAGACGAAAGCUAAGGGAGCAAACAGGAUUAGAUACCCUGGUAGU
rnacentral:rRNA from 1 species